AAUAGAUACCCGGGUAGUCCACGCCGUAAACGAUGAGUGCUAAGUGUUAGAGGGUUUCCGCCCUUUAGUGCUGCAGCAAACGCAUUAAGCACUCCGCCUGGGGAGUACGGCCGCAAGGCUGAAACUCAAAGGAAUUGACGGGGGGCCCGCACAAGCGGUGGAGCAUGUGGUUUAAUUCGAAGCAACGCGAAGAACCUUACCAGGUCUUGACAUCCCGCUGACUGCUCUGGAGACAGGGCUUUCCCUUCGGGGACAGCGGUGACAGGUGGUGCAUGGUUGUCGUCAGCUCGUGUCGUGAGAUGUUGGGUUAAGUCCCGCAACGAGCGCAACCCUUGAUCUUAGUUGCCAGCAUUCAGUUGGGCACUCUAAGGUGACUGCCGGUGACAAACCGGAGGAAGGUGGGGGAUGACGUCAAAUCAUCAUGCCCCUUAUGACCUGGGCUACACACGUGCUACAAGUGGAUGGUACAGAGGGCUGCAAGACCGCGAGGUUUACGCCAAUACCCGUUAAAACCAUUCGUACAGUUCGGAUUGUACGGCUACG
rnacentral:rRNA from 1 species